CCGUGCUAAGUGGGGAGGUAGCGGUGCCCUGUACCUGCAAUCCGCUCUAGCAGGACUGAAUUCCGUUUCCGAGGACACUCGGUGUGAGGACUGCCUCAAUCUCACUGGUGUUGAGAUUUCGGUCCUAUGCAAUAGAACGUCACGAACCAUGUCAGGUCCGGAAGGAAGCAGCAUUAAGUGGCCCAUUCUAUGUGCCGUAGGACAGCCGAAGUUGAGCUGGUGAUUUGAGUAACGCUUGUGCCGGGUGUUCAAAGAAACGGUGCACGG
rnacentral:SRP_RNA from 1 species